GACGAACGCUGGCGGCGUGCUUAACACAUGCAAGUCGAACGGAAAGGCCCUGCUUUUGUGGGGUGCUCGAGUGGCGAACGGGUGGGUAACACGUGAGUAACCUGCCCUUGACUUUGGGAUAACUUCAGGAAACUGGGGCUACUACCGGAUAGGAGCUCCUGCUGCAUGGUGGGGGUUGGAAAGUUUCGGCGGUUGGGGAUGGACUCGCGGCUUAUCAGCUUGUUGGUGGGGUAGUGGCUUACCAAGGCUUUGACGGGUAGCCGGCCUGAGAGGGUGACCGGCCACAUUGGGACUGAGAUACGGCCCAGACUCCUACGGGAGGCAGCAGUGGGGAAUAUUGCACAAUGGGCGGAAGCCUGAUGCAGCAACGCCGCGUGCGGGAUGACGGCCUUCGGGUUGUAAACCGCUUUCGCCUGUGACGAAGCGUGAGUGACGGUAAUGGGUAAAGAAGCACCGGCUAACUACGUG
rnacentral:rRNA from 1 species